rnacentral:rRNA from 1 species
CUGGCGGAAUGCUUUACACAUGCAAGUCGAACGAUGAAGCCUAGCUUGCUAGGUGAAUUAGUGGCGGACGGGUGAGUAAUAUAUCGGAACGUGUCCAUUAAUGGGGGAUAACUAGUCGAAAGGCUGGCUAAUACCGCAUACGCCCUGAGGGGGAAAGCUGGGGAUCUUCGGACCUAGCGUUAAUGGAGCGGCCGAUACCUGAUUAGCUAGUUGGUGGGGUAAAAGCCUACCAAGGCAACGAUCAGUAGCUGGUCUGAGAGGACGACCAGCCACACUGGGACUGAGACACGGCCCAGACUCCUACGGGAGGCAGCAGUGGGGAAUUUUGGACAAUGGGGGCAACCCUGAUCCAGCCAUUCCGCGUGAGUGAAGAAGGCCUUCGGGUUGUAAAGCUCUUUCGCAAGGGAAGAAACGAUAUAGGUUAAUAGCUUAUGUUAAUGACGGUACCUUGACAAGAAGCACCGGCUAACUACGUGCCAGCAGCCGCGGUAAUACGUAGGGUGCAAGCGUUAAUCGGAAUUACUGGGCGUAAAGCGUGCGCAGGCUGUUUUGUAAGUCAGAUGUGAAAUCCCCGAGCUCAACUUGGGAGCUGCGUUUGAAACUACAAGACUAGAAUAGGUCAGAGGGGGGUAGAAUUCCACGUGUAGCAGUGAAAUGCGUAGAGAUGUGGAGGAAUACCAAUGGCGAAGGCAGCCCCCUGGGAUCAUAUUGACGCUCAUGCACGAAAGCGUGGGGAGCGAAUGGGAUUAGAUACCCCAGUAGUCCACGCCGUAAACGUUGAAUGCUAAGUAUUGGGAGUUUCGACCCUCCCAGUGCUGUUACUUUAAGUUAACACGUUAAGCAUUCCGCCUGGGGAGUACGGCCGCAAGGCUAAAACUCAAAGGAAUAGACGGGGACCCGCACAAGCGGUGGAGCAUGUGGUUUAAUUCGACAAUAAGCGAGGAACCUCACCAAGGUUUGACAUAUAGCUGCAAGCUCUAGAAAUAGAGUCGCCUUCGAGGGUGCUAUACAGAUGCUGCAUGGUUGUCGUCAGCUCGUGUCGUGAGAUGUACCGUUAAGUCGGAAAACGAGCGCAACCCCUAUCCUAUGUUUUAUGUGUCAUAGGAGACUGCCCGUUUUAAAUGGGAGGAAGGCGGGGAUGACGUCAAAUCAGCAUGGUUCUUACACCUUGGGCAACACACGUGCUACAAUGGGAAGUACAGAGGGACGCCAAACCGUAAGGUGGAGCAAAUCCCAAAAAAACUUCUCUUAGUUCGGAUCGAGGUCUGCAAUUCGACCUCGUGAAGCUGGAAUCGCUAGUAAUCGUGGAUCAGAACGCCACGGUGAAUACGUUCUCGGGUCUUGUACUCACCGCCCGUCACACCAAGGGAGUCGGUAGUGCCCGAAGCCUCUUUUAGGGGUUAAGGUAAGACUGGUAACAAGGGUGAAGUCGUAACAAGGCAUCCGUAGCGGAAGCUGUG